GACAGUGCUUCGAUGGAACGCAAGCGCA
rnacentral:sRNA from 1 species